rnacentral:rRNA from 1 species
CGUACACUCCUACGGGAGGCAGCAGUGGGGAAUAUUGGACAAUGGGCGCAAGCCUGAUCCAGCCAUGCCGCGUGAGUGAUGAAGGCCCUAGGGUUGUAAAGCUCUUUCACCGGUGAAGAUAAUGACGGUAACCGGAGAAGAAGCCCCGGCUAACUUCGUGCCAGCAGCCGCGGUAAUACGAAGGGGGCUAGCGUUGUUCGGAUUUACUGGGCGUAAAGCGCACGUAGGCGGACUAUUAAGUCAGGGGUGAAAUCCCGGGGCUCAACCCCGGAACUGCCUUUGAUACUGGUAGUCUUGAGUUCGAGAGAGGUGAGUGGAAUUCCGAGUGUAGAGGUGAAAUUCGUAGAUAUUCGGAGGAACACCAGUGGCGAAGGCGGCUCACUGGCUCGAUACUGACGCUGAGGUGCGAAAGCGUGGGGAGCAAACAGGAUUAGAUACCCUAGUAGUCCCAUG